rnacentral:tRNA from 1 species
GGGCCUAUACCUAAGUGGGGAGAGGGCUUGCUUUGCACGCAGGAGGUCUGCGGUUCGAUCCCGCAUAGCUCCACCA